UCCUACGGGGGGCAGUAGUGGGGGAUAUUGCACAAUGGGGGAAACCCUGAUGCAGCGACGCCGCGUGAGCGAUGAAGUAUUUCGGUAUGUAAAGCUCUAUCAGCAGGGAAGAAAAUGACGGUACCUGACUAAGAAGCCCCGGCUAACUACGUGCCAGCAGCCGCGGUAAUACGUAGGGGGCAAGCGUUAUCCAGAUUUACUGGGUGUAAAGGGAGCGUAGACGGCAGCGCAAGUCUGGAGUGAAAUGCCGGGGCUCAACCCCGGAACUGCUUUGGAAACUGUGCAGCUAGAGUGCGGGAGAGGUA
rnacentral:rRNA from 1 species